rnacentral:rRNA from 1 species
CCUACGGGUGGCAGCAGUGGGGAAUAUUGGUCAAUGGGCGCAAGCCUGACCCAGCAACGCCGCGUGAAGGAAGAAGGCUUUCGGGUUGUAAACUUCUUUUGGCAGGGAAGAGUAGAAGACGGUACCUGACGAAUAAGCCACGGCUAACUACGUGCCAGCAGCCGCGGUAAUACGUAGGUGGCAAGCGUUGUCCGGAUUUACUGGGUGUAAAGGGCGUGUAGCCGGGUUGAUAAGUCAGAUGUGAAAUCCUGCGGCUUAACCGCAGAACUGCAUUUGAAACUGUUGCUCUUGAGUACUGGAGAGGCAGAUGGAAUGCCUAGUGUAGCGGUGAAAUGCGUAGAUAUUAGGAAGAACGCCAGUGGCGAAGGCGGUCUGCUGGACAGCAACUGACGGUGAGGCGCGAAAGCGUGGGGAGCAAACAGGAUUAGAUACCCCUGUAGUC